GGACCCUCUACAUUACAAUAAACUGCGUUUGGAGCUCUGCACACAGACCCGUCUCUGGCCUUGUCCAUCAGCAGGAUUUCUCAUUCCCAAACCUUGGGUGGAUGGAGGCUGCCAGGAAGAGAAAGAUGCCCCAGGACACCCAGGCAGAGACCAGGGAGGACAAAUCUCUGUGGCAAAACCUUGUGGAAGAGGCCAUUUUGAGCGACGCCACGGGGCAGGAAUCCAACGGGGAGGAAAAGCCACUGAGAUCCCCCAGGAGGAGGGCCUGCAAACACAACCUAGGGUGCUCUGAGGAGGAAAGACCCACCCUGAGGCAGGAAGGUGGACAGAGCUUCAGCCAGGGAUCAGAGCUGGUGGCCCA